rnacentral:lncRNA from 1 species
UAUUAUCCCCAAAAGGAGAUGUCAUCGAGCCGCAAGUGUGCUGAACACGGAGGUGUCAUCUGUUUGGCGCUAGACCGGGUUGGAUUUUGAUUGGAUCGCAAAGACGUAUGACUACAUCAAUCACAUUUCUUAACGCUUCUGCUUGGCGAUCUACAAGGGUAUAUAAAUGCACUCCCCCUCUCGUAGCUAUACAUCUCCAUAGAUAGACCUUGGGUGCGCGCAGGAUUUUUUUUGUUUCCCAUGCAAUGUUCCCCAACAGUGGCAUCAUGAUCUAGGUCUAUGAGUAGAUGAUAUGCACGGGUAGAACACAAAGUAUUUGUGAGCGUUGAUAGUCUGAGACGUAUCUAUAAUUUCUAUUUGUUCCAUGCUCUUUUGGGUGACAUUGUUAUGUGUUUUGCUACAC